AUUCCCAAGGAUGUGCCUGAGCCAUUGUUAAGAGGACGCCGAAAUCACCACCAUGCAGGACAAAGAAGCAAGAUGAAAAGAAACAAACUUGUGGUUACCAGAUACCAGAAAUUGAUGUGGUUUGAUUGAGAACACUUGGAGGCUGUUAUAAUUUGAG